rnacentral:tRNA from 2 species
GGGCGCAUAGCUCAGUGGGAGAGCACCUGCCUUACAAGCAGGGGGUCGCAGGUUCAAAUCCUGCUGCGCCCA